UGCCGUUGUACGCUACUAAUGUUUACUUAAGUCAAAGCAAAACUAAGUACAUCAUUACUGAGACUGACGUGAGUAAUUCAUUGAACUGUGAUAAAUGCCGAAAAUAUUUCAGAGUAAAAGAAGUUGUGAGAAAAUUAGAAUGUGGGCACAUUUUUUGUUUCAAAUGUAUUACUUCGUGGCUUCACAGUACAGAAGAAGGGAUUGACACGUGUCCGUUAUGUCAGGAAACUAUUGCAAUCCGACUUCAAAAUUUUGUGAAGACGGUUGUCUCUGACAUCACUACUCGAGCCAGCUGACCUUGCCAGCUGCGAUGCGAACAGCUGACUCAGUCAAGGUCAUUCAUUGUUGAUUGUUGACAUCUCUCUGUCUACCUUCCUAUUCAAUGUUCAAAGUCUUCUUUCAUUAAUAAAUUUUAAAUGUCUUAGCCAGAAUUAA